UACGUAGGGUGCAAGCGUUGUCCGGAAUUAUUGGGCGUAAAGAGCUCGUAGGCGGUUUGUCGCGUCUGCUGUGAAAACUCGAGGCUCAACCUCGAGACGCCGGUGGAAACCAUCAGACUAGAGUCCGGAAGAGGAGAGUGGAAUUCCUGGUGUAGCGGUGAAAUGCGCAGAUAUCAGGAAGAACACCCGUGGCUAAGGCGGCUCUCUAGUACGGUACUGAUGCUGAGACGCGAAAGCGUGGGGAGCGAACAGG
rnacentral:rRNA from 1 species